rnacentral:rRNA from 1 species
CCUACGGGUGGCAGCAGUGGGGAAUAUUGGACAAUGGGCGAAAGCCUGAUCCAGCCAUGCCGAGUGUGUGAAGAAGGCCUUCGGGUUGUAAAGCACUUUCAGUGGGGAAGAAAGCCUUGGGGCUAAUACCCUCGAGGAAGGACAUCACCCACAGAAGAAGCACCGGCUAACUCCGUGCCAGCAGCCGCGGUAAUACGGAGGGUGCGAGCGUUAAUCGGAAUUACUGGGCGUAAAGCGCGCGUAGGCGGUCUGAUAAGCCGGUUGUGAAAGCCCAGGGCUCAACCUGGGAACGGCAUCCGGAACUGUCAGGCUAGAGUGCAGGAGAGGAAGGUAGAAUUCCCGGUGUAGCGGUGAAAUGCGUAGAGAUCGGGAGGAAUACCAGUGGCGAAGGCGGCCUUCUGGACUGACACUGACGCUGAGGUGCGAAAGCGUGGGUAGCAAACAGGAUUAGAUACCCUGGUAGUC